rnacentral:rRNA from 1 species
UACGAAGGGAGCUAGCGUUGUUCGGAAUCACUGGGCGUAAAGAGCGCGCAGGCGGCUUGGCAAGUCGGGUGUGAAAUCCCGGGGCUCAACCCCGGGACUGCAUUCGAUACUGUCAGGCUAGAGGUAGGUAGGGGAGAUCGGAAUUCCUGGUGUAGCGGUGAAAUGCGCAGAUAUCAGGAGGAACACCGGUGGCGAAGGCGGAUCUCUGGGCCUUACCUGACGCUCAGGCGCGAAAGCUAGGGGAGCGAACAGG